rnacentral:rRNA from 1 species
GUAGGGAGCAAGCGUUGCUCGGAAUUAUUGGGCGUAAAGAGCGCGUAGGCGGUUCGGUAAGUCUGAUGUGAAAUCCCGGAGCUUAACUCUGGAACUGCAUUGGAUACUGCCGAGCUUGAGUGUGGGAGAGGAGAGUGGAAUUCCCAGUGUAGAGGUGAAAUUCGUAGAUAUUGGGAGGAACACCCGUGGCGAAGGCGGCUCUCUGGACCACAACUGACGCUGAGGCGCGAAAGCUAGGGUAGCAAACGGGAUUAGAUACCCCGGUAGUCCUAGCCGUAAACGAUGGGCACUAGGUGUUGGAGGUAUCGACCCCUCCAGUGCCGCAGCUAACGCAUUAAGUGCCCCGCCUGGGGAGUACGGUCGCAAGACUA